ACCUCCUGAUGAAGUUUCCGGUUCCGGUGUCAGCGGCGGUUGAAUUGCCAUGGCAAUGCGGUGGGCGCGCGCUUGUCGUGUUGGUCUCUUGGGAGGUAGCGGGGCUAGGCCGGGCGGGUAUCCGCCUCUCCCAGCUUAGAUUCAUUGAUUCCAGGUAAAUCAGAGGAACAAGCAACAUGAACAGAAAUAUGUAGAAAAAGCUAUUAUGCAGAAGCAUAAUUGUUGUUUCAGAAGUCCAGCAUCUGGUGCACUUAACAAUAGAGAAUAUAUUAAACUCUUUCCAAAAUAACCUGUUGUUCCUACCUGUGUUCUCUUACAGGGAAAACAGGAAGAACUGGCCCCAUUUUCUAAAUGUGGAGACAGGAGGAGGUGAGAUGGCUCGCCUCUGCCCAGCCGACUGGGAAAUGCAGAGCUCAGAGAGACAGCAAGUCAGGAGAUGUUGAUCCAGGGAGCUUUUCACUCUGCCACCCACCCCAUCGAUGGAAGCACCGACAUUAUCAAGGCUGCAUUUAGAUUUCAAAACAAAAGCAAGCAAACAUGCCGGGCUCGUGGUAUGCUGUUGUUUUAACCGAAAUGAUACAGCUGAAAGGGUGAGCAGCCAUCAGUGCUGUGAGCGAAGCGUGAUCACACAUCUUGUAUGUUUAGCAACUCAGGAGGUAGCUGAGCCUGGAAGUGACUUUCCUGGUAUGUAGCAAUUCAGAGAAUACAAAACCACAUUCAUUAUCUGAAAUGGGCUCAGCUGCUUCUGUGUUUUAUCAUAUAGAGCUGGGAACUUUGAUGUGUGUGGUGUGUGCGUGUUUUGCUGCAUAUACAGAUAAUCACACAACUGGAGGCUUCAGCCUUGCUGUUUACACACACACACACACACACACCCCAGCAGAUACAUCACACACAGACUUCUCACCUGUUACGUUACUAACAGUGGUGCUGGUUUGUUUGAACAGUGUUUGAACUUAUCAAUAACCUUCCUCCAGAAGGCUCAGCAUAGCUAUAGCAUAUGCUGUGUGUGGAAAAUAUAACCUAAGAAACAGAAUGGAAUUGAAUCAUGACCACUAUUGCUAUGAGACAGAAUCCACAGCGAUGGAGUGGGUGCUGGGGUCAGACUGCCUGAGUGUGUACCCUAGGUGAGUCACAUAAUAGCUGGGUGAAUGGCCAAGUUUUCACCUUUUUUCCCUCAUUUGGAAAAUGGGAUGAUAAUAGGAGCUAUCCUGAAGGGUGAUGAUGAGGGUUAAAUUAACAAUAUAGGUAAAGGCUUAGAACAGUGUGUGGCAGAUGGUAGGUAAGCCCUUAAUAAAUAUAAAAUAUCAUUAUUUGUGUCCAUCAUUUGAGAUAUAUCUCACAUCUUAUCCAGAGGACUCCCCAAACACUCGUGUUGUCACUUCUCUUUCCUGUCUCUGGGUUCCUCUACAAGUCAGUUUUGUACCAUGCAGUCUCGCAUUUGAUGACAUGCAGCAUUACUUAGUUCUGUGAAUGAUUCGUGUGUCUUAAUGUCACUUCCCCAACAGACUGUAAAUUUCUUGAUGGCAAGAACCAUGUAACUGGUUUUUGUUAGAUUUCUGCAACUCAAGACCCAAUCCUGGGCAACUGUUGGACACUUAAACAUCCUUCAUCACUAGCUGCGUUCAUCACUAGGAAAAAGUAAGAGAAAUCUGAUGGUAUGGGAUUGUAAGUGGGUAUUAGAUCCAACAGCUGAAACUUAAGAUGUGAAGAUGUAUAUUGACACACAUGUGCGUACAAAAUGUUUAUAGCAGCUUUAUUGAUAAUAGCCAAAAACCAGGAACAACCCGGAUGUCCUUCAACAAGGGAAGGGUGACCCAGCCCGUGAUGCAUCCGUCACACUGUGGAUUGCUGCUCAGCAACGAGGAGGCACAGACUCGAUACGGGAGCCAGCCUGGGUGACGCUCCAGAGAACUACCCUGAGUGGAGAAGGGCAGUCCCACCGUGUGAUUCCAUUAUUAUCACAUUCUUGAAAUGACAGAAUUAUAGAAAGGAGAACAGAGGAGUGGCUGCCAGAGUUUAAGGAGGGAAUGGGGAAAGGGGGAAGAGCAGCAUGCGGGAUCCUUGUGACGGAAGCGUUUUGUGUCGUGUGGGUGUCUGUCAGUUUCCUAGCUGUGAUACUGUACCAUUGUCUUGUAAGAUGCUGCCAUCGGUGGAAACUGGGUAAAGCAUAUAGGGGACCUCUCUGUAUGAUUUCUUACAACU
ensembl:lncRNA SNHG10 small nucleolar RNA host gene 10